rnacentral:tRNA from 1 species
UGGGGAAUGGUGUAAUGGUAACACAGCGGUUUUUGGUACCGUUAUUCUAGGUUCGAGUCCUAGUUCCCCAG